AAAAUUUAUUAUGACUUUCAGUGAAACAAAAAAGAGUGACAAGAAGGUCUGUGCAGAAUGACGAUGUUUUUAACAUAGAGAAUAUUGAUAAUGAAGAAAAUAUUCCCCCACCCUCGUUCAGGUCCCCAAGACCGAGUCUGUUAGGUACUCCACCGGAUCUAAAACAUCGUAGCACUAGUCAUGUAUCUUAUAAUGUGCCAACUGGAACUCUUAUUUCAUUCACACCAUGAACAUCGAGCAUAAAUGAUCAGAUGAAGAUCUUAUAAAAUCAUACUAAGAGUAAGCCAUUCAACACCAUGUCAUUUAUUGCAUAUAUUGACUGGCUAAGAAUGCAUUGUAACUUGACAGGAAGAUAAAGAUUAUCAAGACAAAGCCACCAUUGGUUUUGAUGUAAAGUGCAUUUCAUACAUUUGUGUCAAGAAAAGUUGACCUUACAAGAUUGCUUCACCCACAGCAUUAUAACUGUGUAGUGUGUUACUUUACGCCAACCUACAUUACUGAAAGUAUUUAAUAUAGUGUUUAAAACAGACUUUACUGUCAUUGUGCUUGGAAUUUUCUUGUCUAACUCAAAGAAUAUUCUUAUUGAUGGCAAUAUAUGAAAACAGCUGUUGUGUGUCCCUGAAAACAUUUUAAUAUUUGUGUGCUAUAUGAGAUAGAGUAUUUUUCCAAAGAUGCUAACUUUAUCACGGAAGAAAUAAAUGGAGGUUUCAUCGCUUGAUUGUAUCAUAAACUUAUGUAUUAAAUUUGUAAAUAGAGGUUUUAUCCGAGUAAUGUAUCAUAGAAAACAAUAAGUUUGCUCAUUAUUGUAAAAGAUUAUAUAGUCGAGAGCUUGGUUUUAGAUUAUAUAUAGUUUCAACACUUCAACAGUGAUACUAUAAACUAAAGUAUUAAAAAAUGAAUAUUCAUACAUGAAUUACAAUGUUUUGAAGUUAGUAAGUUUAAAGAAUGGGAAAAAAAUGGAAAAAAAAAAGUUUAAAGAAUGCAAGAAGAAAAAUAAAAAAAUAAAAAUACUGGUUUGGUAAGCUAGGUAAAUGUAUUUAAGUUUGUACUUUAUCAAACUUAUUUAACCAUUAAAUUGAUUUGGUACUAACUACUCACUGAUAAUUGGCAAGAAUUCAGGACUGUCAUGUUUGUUAAUUUUCUAAUUUAUUGUUUAAGAGAGAAAAAUGGAACUACAUGUAUAUUGUAUAAAUUAUUAUAAGGAGAGCAGUCCUGCUCGCCCAUUGACUGCAAUUAAGUUUUUUUAUUAAUGAUAAUGUGCAGUAAAAUAUGUUUUUCAAACUUAAGAGUUUAACUUCAGACUUGAUUCAUUUAUUACUUACCAGACUCUUGUUUUCCUAUAUUCAAAAUACACAUGUAAUGCUGUAUUAUCUUUAGAUUUAAAAGAUAUGUGUAAAUAUUGUUACUUGUUACUUUUUCUUAAUUACAUACAAGAUUUCCUUUAAUCUUAAAUAUUUACUUAUCUUUCACUUGUCAUAUUGCAAUGUUCAUAACAAUGAAAAAAAAUAUUUUAAAAUUUUUCUUCAUGCACUUAAAUGUAAAAAUUUUCUUUCUUUUCUUAACUAAAUCUUUUUCUUUCUUUUUUCAUUCAAACUUGGAAAUUUCUGUUAAUAAUUCAUUAUUUUAUUCAAGGAUGUACAUUACUUGCAUGUUAUGAUUUUUCUUAAUAUUGAAAAAUGCAAUAAAUCUAUUUCAGUGGAUUUUUUCUCUUGUAAUAUACUUACAGUAUAAAAUAAUUUUUGUGUGCUUUCUCCAGAUAAUUAUUUUUCAUAAUAUCAUAUGUUUGAUUAUUUGUUCAUCCUGUUCUCUUUUUCUUAUAUUCUCUAAAAGUUUCUUGCUAUCUGUAACUGAAUUUUCUAAAAUCUUCAUUAAUUCUCUUUAUUGUGUUUUUUUGUAUGAGUUGAUACAAACAUGUGUUUGAAUUCUUCAUAUCUAUGUAACAUUCUUUAUAAUCUGUUUACAAAUAAAAUUGUUUCAAUUUGUA